rnacentral:rRNA from 1 species
CCCCUAAAAAUAGUCCCAGUUCAGAUUGCAGUCUGCAACUCGACUGCAUGAAGUCGGAAUCGCUAGUAAUCGCGGAUCAGCAUGCCGCGGUGAAUACGUUCCCGGGCCUUGUACACACCGCCCGUCACACCAUGAGAGUCGGGAACACCCGAAGUCCGUAGCCUAACCGCAAGGGGGGCGCGGCCGAAGGUGGGUUCGAUAAUUGGGGUGAAGUCGUAACAAGGUAGC